rnacentral:rRNA from 1 species
UACGUAGGGUGCAAGCGUUGUCCGGAAUUAUUGGGCGUAAAGAGCUCGUAGGCGGUCUGUCGCGUCUGCUGUGAAAACUCGGGGCUUAACCCCGGGCCUGCAGUGGGUACGGGCAGACUAGAGUGCGGUAGGGGAGACUGGAAUUCCUGGUGUAGCGGUGAAAUGCGCAGAUAUCAGGAGGAACACCGGUGGCGAAGGCGGCUCACUGGUCCGAUACUGACGCUGAGGUGCGAAAGCGUGGGGAGCAAACAGG